CUAGGAAUCUUGCGCAAUGGGCGAAAGCCUGACGCAGCGACGCCGCGUGGGUGAUGAAGGCCUUCGGGUCGUAAAGCCCUUUUGCGGGGGAAGAUUGUGACGGUACCCCGCGAAUAAGCCACGGCUAACUACGUGCCAGCAGCCGCGGUAAUACGUAGGUGGCAAGCGUUGUCCGGAUUUAUUGGGCGUAAAGAGCGCGUAGGCGGCUUGUCAAGUCCGGGGUGAAAUCUCCCGGCCCAACUGGGAGGGGUCCUCGGAUACUGGCAGGCUCAGAGGGGAACAGAGGAGAGUGGAAUUCCCGGUGUAGUGGUGGAAUGCGUAGAUAUCGGGAGGAACACCAGUGGCGAAGGCGGCUCUCUGGGUUCUACCUGACGCUGAGGCGCGAAAGCGUGGGGAGCGAACCGGAUUAGAUACCCGGGUAGUCCACGCCGUAAACGUUGGACACUAGGUGUAGGGGGUAUCGACCCCCUCUGUGCCGAAGCUAACGCUUUAAGUGUCCCGCCUGGGGAGUACGGCCGCAAGGCUA
rnacentral:rRNA from 1 species